AGUGAACGCUGGCGGUAGGCCUAACACAUGCAAGUCGAACGGCAGCACAGUAAGAGCUUGCCCUUACGGGUGGCGAGUGGCGGACGGGUGAGGAAUACAUCGGCAUCUACUUUUUCGUGGGGGAUAACGUAGGGAAACUUACGCUAAUACCGCAUACGACCUACGGGUGAAAGCAGGGGAUCUUCGGACCUUGCGCGAUUGAUUGAGCCGAUGUCGGAUUAGCUAGUUGGCGGGGUAAAGGCCCACCAAGGCGACGAUCCGUAGCUGGUCUGAGAGGAUGAUCAGCCACACUGGAACUGAGACACGGUCCAGACUCCUACGGGAGGCAGCAGUGGGGAAUAUUGGACAAUGGGCGCAAGCCUGAUCCAGCCAUACCGCGUGGGUGAAGAAGGCCUUCGGGUUGUAAAGCCCUUUUGUUGGGAAAGAAAAGCAGCAGGUUAAUACCCCGCUGUUCUGACGGUACCCAAAGAAUAAGCACCGGCUAACUUCGUG
rnacentral:rRNA from 1 species